CUUCGAUUCAGUUAACUCCGCCCCUCUCUCCGCUCAUUCCACAUUUGCAGUAUUUUAAAUAUAAACAUUGCUGCAAAAAGUGAAGUUACUUCACAUAAUGCAGUUAUAAGGAGUUGACAUGUGCAACACAGUUUCAUAAAUGGCUAACACACACGCUAACACACAUGCUAACAUGCGUUUUGAUUAACUCACCGCUCAGUCUGGACUCCCCAUGAGAUCGCGUUGGUUAUAAAAGUUAAUCCACUUUGAUUCUGGCCAAGGUUCACCAAGCAUCCAUCAGGUUGGUUGAUAUAGUAGCUGAAUCCCAGAAAGAAAUUCCAACUUCUGGCGAGUGCACUCUUCUUUAGGAAGGUUGAAUAGUCCUGUUCCUCUCGUAGCCAAACGCGCAUCCGUGACAUUAUCGUUGGGUAAGAAAAAAGAACAGGCGGUGUCCAGAGUAGGUUAGAAAGAGCUCAGCCUUCAAAAACAACACUUCUGCUGGGAUCCAUGGCUCCUCCGGCCGUGGGUGCGCUUGAUUAGCGUCCUGGGACAGCACAGAUGUGUCGGAGAGUUGCUGCUUUUUUUGUUUUUGUUAGUUUUUUUGUUUUUGUUUUUGUUUUUAUUUCUCAAAAAAAAACAUGAAAAAGCUGUUUUAUAAAUAAAAAUCAGGCCGUAAGGCAUAACAUUACAGACGUAGAGCACUUCCGUUCCUUUGUGACGACACAACUGAACAGCUCAGUCGUUUACCAGGAGAGGGUAGAGCAGCUGCUCAGAGAGCAGGAUUCAGGAGGAUUACUUAGAACUGCGUGAAUGAAGCCAAAAACCGCUCUGGGGGUGUUUUUGAUAAGGAAAUAGCAUAACAACAUGGCUAAAAACUCAAAAAAGUCGAUUUUGCAUGAUAUAGGACCUUUAAACAUACCUGCACUUUGCUUGAUUGUUUGCAUGUAAACAAGAUGAGUGGGAAAAGAGACCACAUGAUGCAUCAUCUGUACACACCCAGCACCCAGGAAUGUCUGAUUUCUCUGUUCUGCACCAGCCUUAUGCAUGCCCCUCUGAACUCAAAAAGACCCUGGCUUCUGCAUCCAGCCCCAAGUGUACAGCCCCAUUUGGUCCACAACUCUACCCCAGGCCCCCUCUCUCCCUCAGCCAAGUGGAGUCCCUACAAAACGUAAAUAGUAUUUAGUUUACAGAUACUUUUAUAUGAAUUAUUUGCUGUUUUUGGUAGAAAGUGUUACGGCCCCAGGCCUCCAGCUCCUCCAUUUUGGCCAUAUCCCUGUGUAGUGUCAUCUUGUGUGCUGAACCCUUGUUUGUUUUGUAUGUAAAUGUGGCUGUGGAAGUCCUCUGCGGCCAUUUGUGGACUGUCUCUGAGCCUGGCUCCUGAUUGGUUAAUGGUCAUCCUGCUUCCAUCGCUUGUGAUUGGUGCACCACCCCAGAGUCUGGCAUAGACCGUUAAAAAGAAUAGACAACUCCUCCUCACUCCUCCCCGUUUACCAUAAUGACCACAUUCGAGGGGGAAAUCCAUCAUGGCAGAUUUACAGACUCCUCCUCCCCAGCUCUGACGAAGCAUGUUCCUAAAAAGGGCAUAAGGGCGGGAUUUUCACUGUAGACUCGGCCCUUGCGUGACGUGUAGUACGAGAUUUCCAAAAAAAAAUCUUUCGAAAACCAGCCUGGUUUCUUUAAUUGUGACUAACCCAGCGUUAUCUCAGGAGGAAUAUGUAGCCGUAGAAAGUGUUUAAAAAAUAGAAACCAGGCGUUAAAGUUGUU
ensembl:lncRNA